rnacentral:rRNA from 1 species
CCUACGGGGGGCAGCAGUGAGGAAUAUUGGUCAAUGGGCGCGAGCCUGAACCAGCCAAGUAGCGUGAAGGAUGACUGCCCUACGGGUUGUAAACUUCUUUUAUAAAGGAAUAAAGUGAGGCACGUGUGCCUUUUUGUAUGUACUUUAUGAAUAAGGAUCGGCUAACUCCGUGCCAGCAGCCGCGGUAAUACGGAGGAUCCGAGCGUUAUCCGGAUUUAUUGGGUUUAAAGGGUGCGUAGGUGGGUAAUUAAGUCAGCGGUGAAAGGUUGUGGCUCAACCAUAAAAUUGCCGUUGAAACUGGUUGACUUGAGUAUAUUUGAGGUAGGCGGAAUGCGUGGUGUAGCGGUGAAAUGCAUAGAUAUCACGCAGAACUCCGAUUGCGAAGGCAGCUUACUAAACUAUAACUGACACUGAAGCACGAAAGCGUGGGGAUCAAACAGGAUUAGAUACCCUAGUAGUC